GUCCUAGCCCUAAACGGUGCACGUUUGCUGUAAGAGGAAUCGACCCCUUUUGUGGCGAAGCUAACGCGUUAAACGUGCCGCCUGGGAAGUACGGUCGCAAGAUUAAAACUCAAAGAAAUUGACGGGGGCCUGCACAAGCGGUGGAGUAUGUGGCUUAAUUCGAUGCAACGCGAAGAACCUUACCUGGCCUUGACAUGUAGGUAGUAGAAGUGUGAAAGCACAACGAGGUAGCAAUACCAGCCUACACAGGUGCUGCAUGGCUGUCGU
rnacentral:rRNA from 1 species